CCGGAAAUCCGGACCGCUACCGGCGCUAGGAUCCAGAUCGGCAUAAGGCCGCCGGGACCCGUAGCAAGCCGAACAUAUACCUGUAAACCUGCUCAAUCCCAUACAUGAUCAACCAUCAUUCAAAAAAAAAAAAAAAUUAAAACUUUUCUUUUAUACAUGUGAUCAAUCACCAACUCAACCUGUGCAUACUCUGAACAUA
rnacentral:lncRNA from 1 species